rnacentral:RNase_P_RNA from 1 species
UUGGACAGACGGCCGCACUCCCGGUUCUCCCGGGGAUGAGGAAAGUCCGAACACGACAGGACACGGUGGUGGGUAACGCCCACCGGCCCAUGAUCGUCGGGUCAGGGAAAGUGCCACAGAGAGUAGACCGCCGGCUUCGGUCGGUAAGGGUGAAAGGGUGCGGUAAGAGCGCACCGCCCGACUGGUGACAGUCGGGGCACGGCAAACCCCACCGCGUGCAAGCGCAAGCAGUCCUCUGCGUUCCUCGGAACGCGUCCGUGGUCCGCGGAUCGAGGGCGGGUAGCGUGCAUGAGAUCGUCGGUGACGGCGAUCCCAGAUGAAUGGUCGUCACCCCGGUUCGCCGGGGGACAGAAUUCGGCUUACGUC